GGGUAUAUAGCUCAGUGGUGGAGUGUGUGCUUAGCAUGCACAAGGUCCUGGGUUCAAUCCCAGUCCCUCCA
rnacentral:tRNA from 1 species